rnacentral:lncRNA from 1 species
AUGAAUGCGGUACACACAGUGAAAAGUCCUGCUGUCCUCAGCCUAUACACACACACAGCGCCCUGCAGUCCCGCACAGCCCGCAUACCACACCGGCCUGGACACAAACGGUGCCCACACAGAGCUCCCGACCAGAACUCAGCGACUCCUGCCCCCGCUGUGCGGCCUGCGCUACCGUCCCCCGCGUACUAAGCCGAGCUCCACCUCAGACUUCCCGGCCCCCUGUUUUCUCCUCCAGCUCCUUUUCCCCAACAACCCCACCCCCGGGCUUCGGGAAACUUUUCUUCAGGUCCCUAAAAGGGGAAACCUGGAGUUCCUCCGGUCCCGCCCUGUCCCCGGACACGCGCAAGCCGCCCUUUAUUUCCCAGCCCGGCUCCCGCCAGACCCAGCGGGGAAAGGUCACCGUGGGCAGCCCCCUGCCUGCGCCCUGGGGGUGGUGAUAAUAACAGCUGUCACCGGGGGAUGGGCGGGGGGGAGGGAGGGGUGUCGGCCCCGCGCCGAGCCGGGGGCGCAAGGUGGUCGCGGUGACGCGCCGGGGAAGCGCAGAGAAGCAGCGGCGGCGGCGGCUGCGCCUUCCGAGCCCGGGGCGGCGGCCGAGGCGCGCGGAGCUGUCCGUUCAGCACCACCGCGCCGCGCCCAACGCAGGGCCCGCGCCCGGUCACACCCGCUCUGCUCCCGCCCGGGUUCACGGGGCGCCUGCGGCGCGGGCUCCUGCUUCUUUCGGCGGGUGACGGGCGCGCGGAUCCGGAGAAGGGGCUCCGCGAGCGGCGGGACCACGCAGCCACCUGUGAGCCUUCCGCAGCUGCGGGCGGCGGCGGCUUGCCCGGCCCGAGACGGGAGGAGAAGCUCGGCGGCCCCCGCCCGCCGGCCCGCCGGGCGCACACUCGGGCGCACACACUCGCAUCCGCGCACGCACCGCCAGCAGGCAGCGGCCACCGCCGCGAUGCUCGCCCGCGGGUCGGGGAAGUUUCCCGCCGGCCUCGGCCGCGGGCGCCCGUGCUCCCAGGUGUAGCGCCCCCGCGCGGCGC